UCGAGGAUCUUCGGCAAUGGGCGAAAGCCUGACCGAGCGACGCCGCGUGUGGGAUGAAGGCCUUCGGGUUGUAAACCACUGUCAACGGGGAGGAAAUGUAGGAGGGUACUCCCUCCUACUUGAUCUAUCUGUGGAGGAAGUACGGGCUAAGUUCGUGCCAGCAGCCGCGGUAAGACGAACCGUACAAACGUUAUUCGGAAUCACUGGGCUUAAAGGGUGCGUAGGCUGCGCGGUAAGUUGGGUGUGAAAGCCCUCGGCUCAACCGAGGAACUGCGCUCAAAACUACCGUGCUGGAGGGAGACAGAGGUGAGCGGAACUCAGGGUGGAGCGGUGAAAUGCGUUGAUAUCCUGAGGAACACCGGUGGCGAAGGCGGCUCACUGGGUCUCUUCUGACGCUGAGGCACGAAAGCCAAGGUAGCAAACGGG
rnacentral:rRNA from 1 species